GGAGGAAAGCAGGGGAUCGCAAGACCUUGCGCUAAAGGAGCGGCUGAUGUCUGAUUAGCUAGUUGGUGAGGUAAAGGCUUACCAAGGCAACGAUCAGUAGUUGGUCUGAGAGGACGGCCAACCACACUGGGACUGAGACACGGCCCAGACUCCUACGGGAGGCAGCAGUGGGGAAUUUUGGACAAUGGGCGAAAGCCUGAUCCAGCCAUGCCGCGUGAGUGAAGAAGGCCUUCGGGUUGUAAAGCUCUUUUAGUCGGAAAGAAAGAGUUGCAAUGAAUAAUUGUGAUUUAUGACGGUACCGACAGAAAAAGCACCGGCUAACUACGUGCCAGCAGCCGCGGUAAUACGUAGGGUGCGAGCGUUAAUCGGAAUUACUGGGCGUAAAGGGUGCGCAGGCGGUCUUGCAAGUCAGAUGUGAAAGCCCCGGGCUUAACCUGGGAAUUGCGUUUGAAACUACAAAGCUAG
rnacentral:rRNA from 1 species